rnacentral:rRNA from 1 species
GACGAACCGUGCGAACGUUGUUCGGAAUCACUGGGCUUAAAGGCGCGUAGGCGGGCUGUCAAGUCUGGGUGAAUCCCACGGCUCAACCGUGGAACGGCUGGGUAUAACUGCCUGUCUUGAGCCAAGCUAGGGGCGACCGGAACAGACGGUGGAGCGGUGAAAUGCGUAGAUAUCGUCUGGAACGCCAAAGGUGAAAACAGGUCGACUGGGGCUGAGCUGACGCUGAGACACGAAAG